AGAAAAAGUGUGGUGAGGAUUGUGGUAACAGCUGACACUGGCACUGAUGUCAGUGACCCAAAUAUCUUAAAGAAGCUUUUGGACAAGAUAAGCAAAGCGGGAAAAAGUCAAGGAGAAUAUUUGGCAAACUGGAGAACACAGCCUGAUGGGAAGGUAUUUCAGGAAAUACGAACAUUGCAGGUCGUAACUGAAUGCAAUAGAGAACAAUAAUCUUAAGUUAUUAUAAUAACAUGAUGCCAAUUCUUCAUGCUCACUUGUCUGUACCCUAUACAGAUAUAACUUGUUUAAAAUACUAAUUGUAUAUAAUAUAAAUAAAAGCAUAAACUUUAUUGAUGCAGAAUAAGGAAGGAGGUGACUUUUAAUGUUUUUACCUAGAUUUAUGGAA